CCUACGGGUGGCAGCAGUGGGGAAUAUUGGACAAUGGGCGAAAGCCUGAUCCAGCCAUGCCGCGUGUGUGAAGAAGGCCUUCGGGUUGUAAAGCACUUUCAGUGGGGAAGAAAGCCUUGGGGCUAAUACCCUCGAGGAAGGACAUCACCCACAGAAGAAGCACCGGCUAACUCCGUGCCAGCAGCCGCGGUGAUACGGAGGGUGCGAGCGUUAAUCGGAAUUACUGGGGUAAAGCGCGCGUAGGCGGUCUGAUAAGCCGGUUGUGAAAGCCCCGGGCUCAACCUGGGAACGGCAUCCGGAACUGUCAGGGUAGAGGGCAGGAGAGGAAGGGAGAAUUCCCGGUGGAGCGUUGAAAUGCGUAGAGAUCGGGAGGAAGACCAGUGGAGAAGGCGGCCUUCUGGACUGACACUGACGCUGAGGUGCGAAAGCGUGGGUAGCCAACAGGAUUAGAUACCCUAGUAGU
rnacentral:rRNA from 1 species